AUUGCGCUCAAUAGCCUCCGCAAAGGGGCGGAGCUCCGGGUCUCGGUCCGAGCGCUUCCGAAAGAAAUGCCGCGGCAGGAUUGGUGGAAACAAGAGCGGGACGUAUCAGCGGCGAGAGGAGGCGGGCACUUCCGCCGAGGUUGCCCAAUCACAGAGGUGAGGGCAGUUUCUAUAAAUGCUUGAGCCGUGCCGGCACCCGCUCUUUUGGGGUUGGGUAGCGAGGCCGGUCGGCUGCUGCCUGCUGUCUGUGGGCCUGCCUGGGCGUCUCUCCGGGUAGUGGAGGGGGUCGCCGGCCCCGGCGUGGGGUCCCCCUCCGUGCCCUGCGCGCCGUCGCUGCAGGGUCGCCUGGAGCGGGCUGCGGACGUGGCGGGACCCGGCGGUAAGGCGGGCGUGUGUCGUGUGUCUGGGUAGCCCGGUAAUAAAGCGAGGGUGCCGAGCCCUCUC